CUGUAAUGAAGACUGGGUUCAUUGCUGAUUGUAUCUCUAGACUUCAUAGAGUAGUGGUUUGAAAGGACUAUACCAGCAGAAUUUGUAAUUUACGUAUUUUUGACUGUUUUAUUAAGCCAAAGCCAAGACUCCUUUUGGAUUAGCUAGACAACACUUGUUUUCGGUCUUUGUAUGAUCACAAAAUCAUAGAAUGAUUGAGGCUAGGAGAAAUGUCCAACCCCCAUGCUCAAGCAGUGUUGCCCAAGACCACGUUCAGGUGGCUUUUUAAUAUAUUAUUUUUUGAUACAGAGAUUCCAAAACCUCUCUUUGACAAUCUCUUCCAGUGCUCAGUAAAACUUUUCAUGAUGCUUUUUUCCUGAUUCCCUACCCAGGACUGUGGAGUACAUCCUAGGCUCUCAGCUGCCUCAUCAUCCAUCCCCAGGCACAGCUCCAUGUACACAAGCUGUUCUGUCACAAAGGGCAAAUUCUUCUCCUCGUCUUCUAAGCCUGUCCUUCCUAAGAGCUUGCAUCCCUCUGUUGGAGCACUCCAGCCAUGACAGCCAUUCCACCAUGUCUCUGUGAUCCCAAAAAGAUCACAGCCUGUGAUGUCAGGCAGAUCUCUAGCUCCUCAUGGUUAUUCCCAAUGCUGCAUGCACGUGUGCAGGCACUGCUGAGGGGCACACUGGUGUCCUGCUGGGUUUUCCCAUCACAGUGCCCUGUAGGCACUCCUUGCUUCUGCAUGGAAGAGCAGUUGCUUGUAAGCAAUUAAGAUCAGUUCUGCAGAAUUGCUUGUGCCUCCUGGAAAAACAUGAACAAAACCAAGUCAGGCUUAUUUUAAGAAUGUAUGAUUGGGACAGAAAAUUCUAAUCUGUCCUCAAAUAUU